rnacentral:tRNA from 1 species
GGGGUUGUGGCUCAGUGGUAGAGCGCUUGCCUAGCAUGCGUGAGACACUGGGUUUGAUCCUCAGCACCACCU